UACAGAGGGUGCGAGCGUUGUCCGGAAUCACUGGGCGUAAAGGGCGCGUAGGCGGCUUGAUAAGCGUGCGGUGAAAGCCCGGGGCUCAACCCCGGGUCGGCCGUGCGAACUGUCGAGCUGGAGCACUGUAGAGGCAGGUGGAAUUCCGGGUGUAGCGGUGGAAUGCGUAGAGAUCCGGAAGAACACCGGUGGCGACGGCGGCCUGCUGGGCAGUGGCUGACGCUGAGGCGCGACAGCGUGGGGAGCAAACAGG
rnacentral:rRNA from 1 species